rnacentral:rRNA from 1 species
UGGGGAAUUUUGGACAAUGGGCGCAAGCCUGAUCCAGCAAUGCCGCGUGCAGGAUGAAGGCCUUCGGGUUGUAAACUGCUUUUGUACGGAGCGAAAAGGUCUGCCCUAAUACGGUGGGCUCAUGACGGUACCGUAAGAAUAAGCACCGGCUAACUACGUGCCAGCAGCCGCGGUAAUACGUAGGGUGCGAGCGUUAAUCGGAAUUACUGGGCGUAAAGCGUGCGCAGGCGGUUAUAUAAGACAGAGGUGAAAGCCCCGGGCUCAACCUGGGAACUGCCUUUGUGACUGCAUAGAUAGAGUACGGUAGAGGGGGAUGGAAUUCCGCGUGUAGCAGUGAAAUGCGUAGAUAUGCGGAGGAACACCGAUGGCGAAGGCAAUCCCCUGGACCUGUACUGACGCUCAUGCACGAAAGCGUGGGGAGCAAACA